rnacentral:rRNA from 1 species
CCUACGGGAGGCAGCAGUGGGGAAUAUUGGACAAUGGGGGGAACCCUGAUCCAGCGACGCCGCGUGAGUGAAGAAGUAUUUCGGUAUGUAAAGCUCUAUCAGCAGGGAAGAAAGAAAUGACGGUACCUGACUAAGAAGCCCCGGCUAACUACGUGCCAGCAGCCGCGGUAAUACGUAGGGGGCAAGCGUUAUCCGGAUUUACUGGGUGUAAAGGGAGCGUAGACGGUGAGACAAGUCUGAAGUGAAAGCCCGGGGCUCAACCCCGGGACUGCUUUGGAAACUGCCUGACUGGAGUGCUGGAGAGGCAAGCGGAAUUCCUAGUGUAGCGGUGAAAUGCGUAGAUAUUAGGAAGAACACCAGUGGCGAAGGCGGCUUGCUGGACAGUAACUGACGUUGAGGCUCGAAAGCGUGGGGAGCAAACAGGAUUAGAUACCCCGGUAGUC